UUAUGGACACAUUAAGUCAGAGCGGAACCUUUGUUUAUGGAUUUGUUGUUCCGGGGACUGAUAAAGGGAUGCCUGCGCCUGACGUUUCCUCAGACGUGAACUGGAAGGAAAAGAGAGGCAUCCUGUCUUCAGUACUCUGCUUUUGCCUGCUUUAUACAGGUCAGAAAAUGUGAAUAAACUCUUAAAAGUUGUUUUAUUAAGCUGGUAGCAAUAUAUAUAUGUCAGUGCCACGUUGUUAUGCUUUAGUUAAAUUGAACAAAAAACUGUUUAAUAUGUAACGGUUUCACUCGCGGCAGCCAUCUUAGGUCAAACGGCCGGUAAACUAACAAACGGCUGUUACCGGGACAACGGUUUUCCGUGUGUCCGCUAUUAUGCUGAAACGGGAGUCUCAGCGCUAUUAAAAAGGAGUAUGAUUGUAUUUGGCGAACUUUUUCUACUGUAUUACAGACAGUGACAAGAAAAUAGUGUGUUUUAUAAGAAUAGUUUAACUGAGUGGCAAAGUUCAAAUGUUUAACCCUGUUAAUAAUUUCCUGUUUUGAUGUCUGUAAGAUCAUAUAGCACAUGGACAUUUUAUCAAUUUGUUUCAGUAGUCUGUUUUACACAGAGCAUGGUUGAUUGGUAACAUCUGAUUGCAGAUAGCACGCUAUGAUUGAAUUCAGUGAUACACUGUAAAAAAGAACCUCAAUAUGAACUAUUGGCAGAGAGUGAUUGUUUAAAGUAAUCAACAAUAGAAAUGUGUUUGUCACCUAAAAUGAAAUAUACGUUCUGACUAGAAUGCUGUGAGAAGCAACUUGAGGGGUGAUGUAAGUUGUUUGUUUGGAGUGAAAUUAUAAGGAACUGAAAUGGAGUAACAGAAAUGAACCGUGUGACUAUAAUUUCAUGAGUUUGUAAAAUAAAUGAGACGUGAACUGGAAGGAAAAGAGAGGCAUCCUGUCUUCAGUACUCUGCUUUUGCCUGCUUUAUACAGGUAACCUACUUGUGACGGCAGUUACCACUCCUGGGACCCGUUACAUGUAUUGUAUGUGCCCGGCUACAUACACAGCUAUGAAGAUUGUGCUAAGGGAUUCAAAGCCGGUGGGGGUGCCAGUGUAUGUGUGGCAGGUGCAGCCUUGUGAUGUCAUGUGGCAGCUCAACUCUACCAGACGGCACAUUUCUCCUAGCUGAAACUUACAUCGGCCCCCCCCCCCCCCACACACACACACACACACACACAGUGUUCAGCUGCACAGAAACUGAACAACAGUGGCACAAAACGGGGACCAAGGUUACAAUCUUUUAAUGAUACUAUUAUUAUGUGUAUACAUAUUUCUGUUAUAACAUUUAAACUUGUUUUUAUUUGGAAACAAGGUAUUAAACCAGGUCCAGUUAAUGACAUGGUCAUCAUAUCAGCCAGACAAAGAGAGAAGAGACCGGUAGAAUGAACAAGAAGCAGUUUGUAAAAAGGAGUCAGCUUCCCCGAUGACAGCUUCAUUCUGAAGGUGCAGGAGGCGUACCACAGACUUGGUGCAGAUGAGGCUCCGGUGAUGACAACCAUGGCUGUCUCUGGUGAUGUACCUCUGGUUGGGUCCACGUUUGGUUCGGUGCAGGAGGGAAGCGGGCCAUCUUACCAACUACCAGUGAGGACGGCCCCCAGGACGCGUCCACACAAAGACAACCCUUCUCUCCCACAACUGUCUCUCUCAUUAGAGACUGGGACCCUCUGCAAGUGCAUUUGUGUUUACUGAACAUCAUCAUUUCACAUCCCUCACAACAUCAUUGGGGAAAUCAUACAAAGCUGAGAACAGAACACAAUCGCAGAGUUUCUGUGUGGAGGGGCACCAACUAAGGAGAUGCCACAUCACUUCGUCCAUUUGUAGCAGCGAAUAUCUCCUCGCUGUGCGUUCUCCUUUUUUAACACCUUAAUCUACCAGUAGAAACGUCUCCCAGCAUUCCUAGUUGUCUACUGGAGGGAUUCAUCACUAAAUUAAACAAACCAGCUGGGUUCAUAAUCUAAAACUUGCAGGACAGCGGACCGGGGAUGAGAAGCACUGUGUUACUCAAAAAAGUAAAAGGGGACGGGAAUGCCAAACUCUAAAUAUAAACUGGAUAAAUUGCAUUUCUUGUGGUAAUGCUGUUUAAUUGCUGACAGCUCAGCAGAUCCAUUGGUAACGUGUUGUGAUUUUAGUGUUGGGGGCGAACUGGAGCUCCCAGAGAAAACCCCCAUGCAGCACAAGGAGACAGAAAUAAUCUGUUUCCUGUGAAAACUUGUGCUGCAGUAUUUUUUAUUUUGUUUAGGUUUUUUUGUACUCCGUGGUUCAAGGAGGCACUUCCUUGACGCAAUCAACUACUCGGCUCUCUUCACGUAAUACUAACUAGACCAUUCGGCCGAGCCGCUCCUUUUGAUGUAUAAUUAGUGGGGGUGCCCUCUGCCCUUCGAGCCACAUUAACAUCCGGAAGGAGAAUAAAGAAGGGCUAAAAAUCCUCCGGUGAAUAGCAAUUAUAAAGAGCUCAAAUCUUCUAGUGCAGAACAAUAAGUGGCUUUCAGGGUCAGGGCCUUGAAUAAAGAGGAACAGGGAAAGAAUGUUUACAGCGUUCAAAUACUGAGUGAAAUUCUGUAGUGUUAUGGAUUAGGAAGGAUCAGGUUGGUCCCACUAGACCUGAGUAUAACUAAUAGCAGACCUUUUAUCAGCGCUAACUUGUAUUAAAGGGAUACUAGGCAGUUAUGCUUGCUUUUAUCACCCCUAGUGUCCUCUUCUUUUAAACAUCUUAAUCUACCAGUACAAACGUCUCCCAGCGUUCCUAGUAGUCUACAAGAGGGAUUCAUCACUAAAUAAAAAAACCAGCAGAUGAAAACAUUGCAAAUUGUCCCUCAAAAACUCUAAAAACUAAAUUGGAUGUGACUUACCCUAACGGUUUGGGCCUAAAAUAAGAACAAACUUGGGCAAUCCUAUCUGAACGCUUAUUCAGUCACAACGUAAGACCCUGUUUAUGGUAUGGUUGUGAGUGUGGUGUACGGCAUUUCAAACGAGGUUUCUGAGUUGGAGGUGUUUGACUCCGUGUGUGGGGCGAUAGUGGGGGCUGUUCGGCAUCUGGGGUUUAACGCACGUGAUGUCAGGGCUAUGGUCUCAUUUGCUUAGUUUAGGUUCAUCUUACUGAGCAGUUUUGCUUGCUUUUAUCAUCCUCUAGUGUCCAUUUGUAGCAGCGAAUAUCUCCUCGCUGUGCGUUCUCCUUUUUUAACACCUUAAUCUACCAGUAGAAACGUCUCCCAGCAUUCCUAGUUGUCUACUGGAGGGAUUCAUCACUAAAUUAAACAAACCAGCUGGGUUCAUAAUCUAAAACUUGCAGGACAGCGGACCGGGGAUGAGAAGCACUGUGUUACUCAAAAAAGUAAAAGGGGACGGGAAUGCCAAACUCUAAAUAUAAACUGGAUAAAUUGCA